rnacentral:rRNA from 1 species
GUUURUUAUGAAAAUGUUUAUAGUCUAGCCUGCUCACUGAUGUUAAUAUUAAAUAGCCGCGGUAUCUUGACCGUGCAAAGGUAGCAUAAUCAUUAGUUUUUUAAUUGGAAACUUGUAUGAAUGGUUGGACAAAGAAGAAACUGUCUCUUCUGUUGAAAUUGAAUUUAACUUUUAAGUGAAAAGGCUUAAAUAUCUCAAAGUGACGAUAAGACCCUAUAAAGCUUUAUAAAUUAAGGAUUUUUGUAUAUUUUUAUAUAUCAACAAUUUUCUAAAAAUUUAUUUGGUUGGGGCGACAAUAGUAUAAUUAGAGUAACUGCUUUAAAUUAAAACAAAAAUAUUUGGAAGAUAAUUAGUCGAUCCUUUAUAAAGAUUUUAAGAUCAAGUUACUUUAGGGAUAACAGCGUUAUUUUUCCUGAGAGUUCUUAUCAAAGGAAAAGUUUGCGACCUCGAUGUUGAAUUAAAAUGUCUAUAUAGUGCAGCAGCUAUAAAAGAAGGUCUGUUCGACCUUUAAUAUUUUACAUGAUU